CAGGCCUUAACACAUGCAAGCUCGAGGGGUAACGGGCAUCAGUGCUUGCACUGUUGUGCUGACGACCGGCGCACGGGUGAGUAACGCGUAUCCAACCUUCCCAUGAGUAGUGCAUAGCCCGGCGAAAGUCGGAUUAAUUCACUAUAUGUGGCAUUUCGGCAUCUUUAUGUCACGAAAGAUUCAUCGCUCAUGGAUGGGGAUGCGUCUGAUUAGGCAGUCGGCGGGGUAACGGCCCACCGAGCCAUCGAUCAGUCGGGGUUCUGAGAGGAAGGUCCCCCACACUGGUACUGAGACACGGACCAGACUCCUACGGGAGGCAGCAGUGAGGAAUAUUGGUCAAUGGGCGCAAGCCUGAACCAGCCAAGUAGCGUGCAGGACGACUGCCCUAUGGGUUGUAAACUGCUUUUGUACGGGGGUAAAGUGUGUCACUUGUGGCAUAUUGCAAGUACCGUACGAAUAAUGACCGGCUAAUUCCGUGCCAGCAGCCGCGGUAAUACGGAAGGUCAGGGCGUUAUCCGGAUUUAUUGGGUUUAAAGGGAGCGUANGCCGCCGGUUAAGCGUGUUGUGAAAAGCAGUGUCUCAACCACUGUCGUGCAGCGCGAACUGUCCGCUUGAGUAUCAUGAAAGG
rnacentral:rRNA from 1 species